CCAAUAGCGUAUAUUAAAGUUGUUGCAGUUAAAAAGCUCGUAGUUGAAUUUCGGGAUCAAGGGAUCGGUCAUGCCUUGGUAUGUACUGGUCUUAUUGGUUCUCACCUUCUAAAGAACCAUGAUGUCAUUCAUUUGAUGUUAUGGGGAAUUAGGACUGUUACCUUGAAAAAAUUAGAGUGUUUAAAGCAAGCUUACGCUUGAAUACAUUAGCAUGGAAUAAUGACAUAGGACAUCAGAUUCUAUUUUGUUGGUUUCUAGGAUCGAUGUAAUGAUUAAUAGGGAUAGUUGGGGGCAUUAGUAUUCAAUUGUCAGAGGUGAAAUUCUUGGAUUUAUUGAAGACUAACUACUGCGAAAGCAUUUGCCAAGGAUGUUUUCAUUAAUCAAGAACGAAAGUUAGGGGAUCGAAGACGAUCAGAUACCGUCGUAGUCUUAACCAUAAACUAUGCCGACUAGGGAUCGGAUGAUGUUAAUUUUUUAAUGACUCAUUCGGCACCUUACG
rnacentral:rRNA from 1 species